AAACUGCAACGAUGAACAGAUCAGCAUAGGUGACAUGCACUGAACAAGGUAAAAAAGAUAGAAAAUUAUCUAGAGAGGUGGCUGGAGGACACAUCAAGAAGCGCCUUGCACAUUGAAUCAGGCAACAUCUCAUCCUACAAAAUAAAAUGGGUUUUCCGAUGAGCUGAGCAGAGGAGCCUGGCUUUAUAGGCAGAAAAGGGCUGAAGAAAACAGAAACAGAGAACAAAAAGCAGAUGGUUUGUUUCAAGGAUCCGGUUUUGUUCAGGUGUUCGCACAAAUCGUGAGAUUCACAGGAAUGGGAAGCCGAACUCAUUCCCAGCUCCAGAAGUGGAUGCUGAUAUUUUAAACCAAUCACCAGAUGCCAUUCCUUUGAUGAUGAUGAUUAAUUUGUCCAGGGGCAGUGAGGAAAAGGAAACGAGAUGUCCAGCUGUUGGCCCCAGUCAUAAGAGGAAGCUGAUGCUGUGGAUGAAGAGUGGAGCAAUGGAAAUAAUCUGGGGUCCAGUAACAUUGCUAAACUACUGGUUCAACUAGCCUUUCUUUUUUUCUUUUCUUUUUCUUUCUUUUUUUUUUUUAAAGAGACAGGGUCUUGCUCUGUCACCUAGGCUGGAGUGCAGUGGUGAGAUUAUAUCUCAUUGCAGCCUCCCACUUCUGAGCUCAAAUGAUCUUUCCUCCUCAGCUUCCCAAGUAGCUAGGACUAUAGGUUCAUGCCACCACACCGAGCUAAUUUUUAAAUUUUUUUUGUAGAGACAGGGUCUUGCUAUGUUGCCAAGGCUGGUCUAGAACUCUUGGCCUCAAGUGAUGCACCUUCCUCUUCCUCCCAAAGCACUGGGAUUACAAAGGCAUGAGGCACCAUGCCUGACUAACCAUGAAGACUGCUUUAUCUCUGAAUAAAUCCCCUUUUUUUUAAAACCCAGCUUUUGUGAGGGUUUCUGUUACUUGCAGCAAAAGGGUCCUGAUGGACACAGUUGUUUUUGCAAUGUAUGAGAAAUCCUCAAAACUGGCUUUUCCCAUGCUUGCCUUCCUCUCCGUUACACACACUGCCUAAAGCAAAGUGACUGCUUCCUCGGGAGUCAGGUUUUAAGGUCCCUGGGGUAGUUCUGCUUCCACAGUUUAGGUUUACCAAGAGGCAGAUAUGUUUGUCCACGAGCUGGUUUUGCCAGUUGCACUUGUUUUUGUAAUUAUGUAAAGCAAUGAAAUAUGAGUGAGGGAAAGAAUUGCUGUUGUCCAAAAUCCAAACUGAAUGCUUUCCAUAAACAGUAAAGACAAGUUGCUUAGAAAACAAAGCAAAUACAAAACAAUCUUAGAGUUUCAUGCAAGUGAGGCAAGUGUAAAAUAAUUGGAAAAUUUUGUUAAAUCUAGAAUAAUUCUGAACUCAGAUUGUUCCCCAACUGUCCUUCAGUUCUGGCUCUACUUUAAAGCUAUUGGGACUGAAAACCACUGACUUUUUAAAUGACUACACAUGACUCCUAUUAGGUGUCACAUGUCUUAAAAGUGGCCUUAUCCCUUCAAAAUACUGUCAAAUGAAAGAAUAUUUAUAUGUUUUACUUUAGUAAAAUAUUAAAAAUGUUUUCCAUUUUUAGUGUUUCUUUGCUCUAACUGACUAACUGCUUUAACUGAUUACCCAACUAGCUACCAGUCUGGUGGCUUCUGAGUAAAUGUACCCCUGUUCCUCUUUAGCCCCUUCUCCUACCUGGUCAACCUACUGCCCUCAGUCUCUUUCCUUUCUCCAUCUUGUCAGCAUAGAACAGCACAGCAUCAACUGGUUUUUACAAAAUUAUAAUUACAAUAGCAAGAGUAUUUUUCUGUUUUUUUUUUGUUUUGAGAUGGAGUAUCGCUCUGUCGCCCAGGCUGUUGUGCGGUGGCAUGAUCUCGGCUCACUGCAAGCUCCACCACCCAGGUUCACUCCAUUCUCCUGCCUCAGCCUCCCGAGGAGCUGGGACUACAGGCGACCGCCACCACACCCGGCUAAUUUUUUUGUAUUUUUAGUGGAGACGGGGUUUCACCGUGUUAGCCAGGAUGGGCUCGAUCUCCUGACCUCGUGAUCCGCCUGCCUCGGCCUCCCAAAGUGCUGGGAUUACAGGCAUGAGCCACCGUGCCUGGCCGAGUAUUUUUCAUUUUAAUAAAAGUUCUGGGAGGAUCUACACUAAAGUGUUAACUGCUAUUUCUGCAUGAAGAGACUGUGGAUUUUUUUCUUAUUUUCAUGUAUGAGGAUAAUAAUGAUGUGUACUAGUAUUGACUUGGUUAUAACAAACUAAAAAUAAUCUUUUAACCCAAGAACAAAGAAUAUUUUGUCUUUUUAUGAGAAUUUACUUUUUACAGGGAACUUUUAG